rnacentral:rRNA from 1 species
GACGAACGCUGGCGGCGUGCCUAACACAUGCAAGUCGAACGAGAAUUCACGAGAAGAUUUCUUCGGAAUGAAUUUUGUGAAGGAAAAGUGGCGGACGGGCGAGUAACGCGUGAAUAACCUGCCCAUAAGAGGGGGAUAAUCCAUGGAAACGUGGACUAAUACCGCAUAUUGAAUAUUAAUCGCAUGGUUGAUAUUUGAAAGAUUUAUCGCUUAUGGAUGGAUUCGCGUCUGAUUAGCUAGUUAGUGAGGUAACGGCUCACCAAGGCGACGAUCAGUAGCCGAACUGAGAGGUUGAUCGGCCGCAUUGGGACUGAGACACGGCCCAG